CCGCCGCGCGCGGCGGGCCUACGGGAGGCAGCAGUGGGGAAUAUUGCACAAUGGGCGCAAGCCUGAUGCAGCCAUGCCGCGUGUAUGAAGAAGGCCUUCGGGUUGUAAAGUACUUUCAGCGGGGAGGAAGGCGUUGAGGUUAAUAACCUCAGCGAUUGACGUUACCCGCAGAAGAAGCACCGGCUAACUCCGUGCCAGCAGCCGCGGUAAUA
rnacentral:rRNA from 1 species